UUCUCGCUCCAUAUAUGAAGCCUGCUCCACGAGCUAGAGGGAGCCCCAGCUGACAAAGCAUCAAGGCCCCAGCUGACAAAGCGUCAAAGCGAGUUAAGCAGCAGAGUGAAAAGAGGCGAAGGAUAGUCUGAAGAAGUUUGGAGGAUCAUUUGAUUGACAUGCGAAGCACAGUCAACAGCACUGUGGUGCUGUUGUGCUGCACAUCUGUUGUUUCAAUGCAGCCAGAAGGAGAGAAGCAGAAGAAGAAAUAUGCAGCAUCAUUUCAGACUGAAUGGUUGCAGAAUGAUAAUUUCAAAGACUGGAUCGUAAAAGUAGAUGACUCUCUUGUCAGAUGUUCCAGCUGUAAACGAAGCUCUUUCCGCAGGUGGUGCAAGUAUAUGGCUUCUCUCCACCAUGGGUCCUUUCAUGCUUGAGGAGGAGUGAGUUCCGGCUGAAGCACUUUCCACAGGCGGAGCACUGGAAGGGCUUCUUCUCGGCGUGGGGGGGUCUCUCGUGGACAACCUGACAGAAGGCUUUCCCACAAUAAGAGUACUUGUGCGGCUUCUCUGUGGUGUGGAUUCUCUGAGGUCUCAGAAGUGGCUCCUUGAGGCUGAAGCUUUCCCCAUAGUCAGCACCGCCUCGGAAUGGUUCCUCUCCAUUUUGGAUUUUUUCGAAUUCGGGAAGAGCGGAGUCCUCGUGCAUUGCACAGGCCUGUCCUUGAGGCCCUAAGAGGCAGUCACUGAGGCUUUCAUUUGCUGUACCCAGAACGGAUUCUCUAAUCCGACUUCUCAUGUGGCUUUUUCGCUGUUUCUUUGGGCUGUGCUGAUUCCCAGUGGUUUUCCCCUCUACCUCAACCUGGGAAACUGUCUGAGUCGCUCUCCUUUGAGACACCCAGUCUGACUUCAUCAGCUCGGAAUAUUCUAGAAUCUUCUCUCCACCCUUGCUCAGCUGCAUAUAACCUUUUGAAAUGAAAACAGUGAAUGAAUUAAUAAAUAAACAAAGGGAUUAAACAAAAAUAGAGAAAGAGUAGCAGGUUCCAUGUAAAAGUUGUUGCGGGUGUUGUCGUGGUCACAUGUACACCUUACAUUUAAAGCACUCUUAGUCAUGGAGAAUCCUGAGACAUUUAUAGCUUGUUAAGGAUGCUAGGAACUGUAGCUCGGUGUGUGUGUGUCUCCUAAUCCUCCUAACAACUCUGUGAGGUAGGUUAAGCUGAGAGACAGCGACUGGCCCAUGGUCACUCAGUGAGCUUCCUGGCUGAGUGGGGAUUUGGACCUCAGUCUCCCAAGUCCUAGGUCCAACACUUUAACCACUACACUAUGCUGGCUCUUACAGAUCCUUCCUGGCCUGACAUCAGCUGUGGCUCCUUCUGUCCCUUAGACAAGCUCAGGGGCUGCUCUGCCCUCAGAAUCUCCAGUCUUUGUUUUCUUAGGUCACAUCCACACUGUACAUUUAAAGCACUCUUAUACCAUGUUAACACUUCUGGCUUCCCCCCCCAAAAAUCCUGGAAGUAUAGUUUAUUAAGGGUGUACUUAAAAUAAUCCCAACACACACAGAGAAAUAUAUAUGCACACAUGCAUGGCCAACUGCAAGUGGGGAGGGUAGCGCUGUUAAUGGUUAGGUCCUGCUUGCAGACUUCCCACUGAGGCAUCUCGUUGGCCAUGUGAGAACAGGAUGGUGGACUAGGUAGGCCUUUGGCUUGAUCCAGCAACAAGGCUCUUCUUCUGAUGCACAUUCGCCAUGUAUGCGUGCAUAUAUAUUUGUGUGUGUGUAUGUGUGUGAGUUGGGUUAUUUUAUAUAUAAUGGACCCCACAAGCCACAGAAUGUCAGGGAAUUUAGGCUUACCCAGCAGCUUGGUGUUCAGACCUUGCUUGGCUUCCUCAAGCAGGUGAGUCUGCCCCGGGCUGGAGAGAGACGCCUCUGUCUUUACGGAGCACGCCGUUACCUUCUCAAACUUUGUCAGCUCCUGAAAAAGAAGUGAGGAUCCCCUUUAAGAGCAGAGAACCAAGAAAACAGGUAGCACUAGAAAAACCCAAAAACCCAAAAAUGAAUUAUUUAUACGUAUAAGAAUGUUUUUUUUUUUACGUAGCUUAAUUAGGUCAAGGUAAAAGCAUGUAGAUCUGAAUAUAAUAAAUUCAUUUCUUUUUAGUGGUGUGAGUAGGACUUGUCCUUCCUACUGGAUGAGCAUUUUAGGUAUUCUGUAUUGUGCAUUGUUUUAAAUUUUUCUGGUUUUAUUUUAAUUUAACUUGUUUUUAUCU